rnacentral:lncRNA from 1 species
AUUAAAGCUUAUCAAGUCUAUUUUUACAUGAAAGAAACGGUGUAGGCAAAGGAAUUUUAUAUUUUGAGAUAUUUAAAUUUUAGUGAGACAGGGUCAGAAUGGUUUUUGAAGUCCCCUGUUCUAACUUUAGAAAAUCAUUAUAAAUUGUACAGAAAUAAUUAUAGGUCAUAAUUUAUAUGUUUAGAUUCCUUAGUGAGUCUAUUUUCAAAAUAAAUUAAUGGUAACCUUAUAUGAAUUCUGUACAAUUAGAUAUUUGAUUUUUAGCGCCAAGAGGUCAGAUCUGUCGAGCUGUGAAACAGGGGAUACUUUAAUGAAUAAACUGUACUAAUGUGCUAAGUAAAAAAUUCUGAAACUUUUAUGGUAAGUAGGAAUAUGAGUCUAGUUUCACAUAAAAUUUACGGAUUUAAAUUUUGAGUUUCGUAACUCAAGUUAUAAUUAAAUUAGUGACAGUUGCGCAGGUGGACAGUGUUGUUAUGAACAGUGAAUUUAAUUUUAAAAGCAAAUUUUUAUGCUCCGAAUCGGUAAGUUAAAUUGGAUGACAUCUCGUACUCGAUUCCGGAGAUGGUCUCGGGUAAGGGGUGUUACAU